UGCCAGAGCCAUAUCUCCCUGCAGUUCUUUCCUGGGUUCCCACUGAAGCUAAGCAGGGUUGAGUCUGGCCAGUACCUGGAUGGGAGACCUCCUGGGGAAAGCUAAGGUUGCUAAGGUUG
rnacentral:rRNA from 1 species